AUUUGUGAUAACAGAAUAUGUGAUAUUAACUCACCUCUUUCUAUUUAUUGUGUAAGACAAACUGGACGGUUAUGUGAUUGAUUACAAAAACGCAAAUGAUUGCAUAUGUUUAGUUUGAAUGUCAUCAUUUAUGUGAAUAUCCGAGGUUUGAAGAACAUUUUGUACACAGUUAAUUGAAACGAACCAACACCAUAGACACCACUCACAUACGGUAGGUA
rnacentral:lncRNA from 1 species